UAGCAUAAUCAUUAGUUUUUUAAUUAAAAGCUGGAAUGAAAGGUUGGAUAAGAAAAUGACUGUCUCUAUUAAAUUUUAUUAGAAUUUUAUUUUUAAGUUAAAAAGCUUAAUUAAGUUUAAAAGACGAGAAGACCCUAUAGAGUUUAAUUAUUAAAUAAAAAUUAUAUUUUAGAAGUGAUUUAUUUAUUUUAUUAAAUAAUUUAAUUGGGGUGAUUGAAAAAUUGAAUAAACUUUUUUUAUUUAAGAACAUAGAUUAAUGAAUUAAUGAUCCAAUAAUUUUGAUUAUAAGAUAAAAUUACCUUAGGGAUAACAGCGUAAUUUUUUUUUAAAGUUCAUAUUAAAAGGAAAGAUUGCGACCUCGAUGUUGGAUUAAAAUAAAUUUUUGG
rnacentral:rRNA from 1 species